AAAGAAAAGAGAAGGAAAAACUGACAGAGCUUAUAAAUGUUGCAGGAAGGUUCAGAUAUGCACAUUGCUGCUGGCUUUUUAAGGAGCAGUGAAUUUCCUUUAUCCUGAGGUAGAUGGACAUGCUGGAAUGGAAGAAGAACUGUUUAGCAAGAUGGUUUUCAUUUAGAAACUCUCAUGAAGAUGAGGUGACGGCUCCAGCUGGGGUUGCAGUCAUCUGAAGACAUGACAAGGACCUAAAGAGCUGCAGUCAUGUUCACACAUGUAGAUAUUGUGAGGUGAUCUCUGUUUCUCACAGCUUCUGCCUGGAGACAUCCCUUUGUACCUCAUGGUCCUGUCCAUACAACUGCUUCUGUGUCCUAUGACAUGGUCACCCGCUUCCCCACAAAUACAUUCACAAAAGUAGGAUUGCCGAAUCCCCGUUUAGUUUUUGAAGCAUGGAAGACACCUCCUUAAUCUUUUUUGUAGAAGCAAUAUGUUCCCAGUGUAAUUUGUAUCAAGUUGACAACUGUGAACCUGAAAAUUAAGAACAUAUUUUGAUACUGCUUUUUGAAUGUGGGGCAUUUUGUGGUGCAGAUGUUCUAGUAAUUGUGAGAUACUGGAAAAAAUCCCCCUUCAGUGGUGCUCAGAUUCAUGCUUCCCGCUGUGGUGUGGUGAGCAGCCUGACGCUAGCACACUGUGCCCCAAUGUGAAACAUAUGAGACUAGAGCUUGAUGCAGUCUCCCUCCCUUCAAGGUGUGUUUCCAUCAUCACCACCACUGUUUUUCUCCCCUGACAGUCUCCCACUCAACAAUCUUAGAAGGUAGGCAUUCCUACAUUUUUUGCUUUAUUUGAAAUAUGCAUCAAAAAGUAUAGUUCCAUUAUGAGAGGAUAUAUUGACUACAAACACACUAAAAUGAGUAUAUUCUUAAAACUAGUAAAUGUUUACAUUUAAUUUUGAUUUUAAAGAAAUAUACUUGCCACCUGGUUUCAUAUUAUUUAUUUAUAGCCAUCAAGAACAGAAAUUUGAUUCAAAGGGCUCUCUAUAAAGAUCUUAUUGAUAAAACACUUAUUUCCACACCACUGUUAUUUCCAUUACUCAAGGCGUAGAUUUAACCAAUCUUUAUAUACCUAUAGUAGGGUGAUUCUAAAGUAAUUAAUUCAGUUGUUUCAUUUCUUUCCCCACACAGAUGGAGAGUUGGGACCUUCUGUGUCCUGGGAUGGGUCUGGGGCUGUGCUCAGAAAAUGUUUGAUUUCUAACUCUGGCACACACUCACCAUUUGUGCAAACUCAGCAUCUUGUUGGGCAGAUGGCUUUUAAGAUUGCAAUCAAGUGUGUCUGUGAUCAAAAUGGAAAGCACAAUGACUUCACUUAAAUCCAGAUAAAAAUCAAAUCAUUUUUACAUAUUUGACUACUCUAUUAUUUUCUUAAUGAUUCAUAAGAGGAAAUUCAUUAUAAGUUUUUGAUGAUACGUUUCAAAACCUGAAAGUAUUUAGUAAAAUAAAUUAUCUUUUUCUUCUAGUAUCUUUUAUUAAGACGAAUGUUUAGUUUAUAGAUUAUUUGGAGAUGUGCUCAUUUUUCAGGACACAAGUAGAUGAUGUGCAAGAUGGGACAAGCUAUAUCUAGAGGAUCUUACUUAGGGAUGCUUGCAGGGGUCAAGGGAUUCCCAAAGACUUUCCAGGAGCAGCAGUUAAGAGUCUUGCAAUAGAUUAGCUAAGAAAGUAUAGGAAUUGCUCUAUGUGUGAUACCUUAGGGGUCCCCAAAGAAUUAACAGAAGUAUCUCAUGAAAGUUAGAGAAGUAGAAGAUUGGUGGUUGCCAAGGAACGGGGAGACAAAUAAGUAGAGAUGUUCAAAGGGUACAAAUGUUAUAAGAUGAAUAAGUUUUUAUGCACAGUAUUGUGACAAUAGUUAGCAAUACAGUUUUGUGUAUGUGAAAGUUGCAAAAGAGAAGAUCUUAAAUGGUCUCACCACACACACAAAUACUGUGACUAUGUGAGGCCAUGAAUGUGUUAACUAACCUUAUUGUGGUAAUCAUUUCACAAUAUAUACAUAUAUGAAAUUAUUACAAUGUAUAGCUUAAACUUAUACAAUGUUUCAUAUCAUUUUUAUCUCAGUAAACCUGGAAAUAUGAAAUAAUAAAGGAAUCAAUCUACUUUUUCUGCCUUUCAGUUGUUGGAAAAUUAUUAUCUGAGACCAUAAUAGGGACAAGUCUGUAAACAAAUGUUAAGAGUCUAUAGAUGACAGGGUGAAAGUUAGGGAAAGCCUGGAUCCUCACAUCCUUAACAUCAUUGUUAAGUUAUGGAAUUAAUCUUUGCAACUCACAUGAGGAUAUGUUAUGUGACAGCAACACACACACAUAUAUAUGUCAUAGAGAUAGCAUAUCCAAUAUAUUUAUGUUUAAAUUAAUGUGGACUCAAUAUAAACAAUUUAUAUGGGCUGUUACCUGAAGUUAAAGUCGUCCAUCCCACCUCAUAAAUGUGCUAAGAAUUAUACAGACAUAUAUGGCCAACUUAAAAAGAAGUUGGGAAAAGUUUAUAUAUUCUACUGUCUCAUUUGUAUAGGAUUGACAAUGAGCUCUGGGAUUCUUUAAUUAUCUAUCUAUUAGUAAAUGGUGAGGGGUUAUGUAAUAUCCAAUUACUCAGUUAAAUCCCACGCUAUUAAUUAUAUGUCACACAGGACAUCCAUAUACUGAUUGAUUAUACUCUGAACUGGAAACCAUUCUCACCUUUUUCCUUUUGGGACUUUGCCACUAUAUUGUUAUUGCAACACCUGUAACUUUGUUGUCCAUUGCACAAAUAUUCCAUGAUACCAUCAUCAUUUUUAAUCAUUUUGUAAUUAUGGAAACAUGCUAGAUAAUUCCCAAGGCCAGACAGAAAUGUGUUAUUCCCAUUAGCAUUUUCUUGCUUAGCAUUUAAAGGCAAUAUAGUUAACUCUGGACUAUUUUACAGUCAAACACGAUUUAUAAGAACUGCAAGUUUGUUUAUUAUUCACAUAAUAAACCAUUAAUAAGCAAGUGGUCAAUAUAAAAUUACUGAGUGAGAAAAUUAAAAUGCAUAUGGUAAUAGGUCAAAAUUUUCCUCAAUUUCUACUAAAAACAGCAGAGGAGGGAAAGGGGAAGUUAAAACAGUGAUAGUAAUGGUUCUUCUUGUAACAAAUGCUGCAACUGACAGGUAUACAGAAAAUAGAGGUAGCAGUGUAUUUUUCAUUACAAGUCAAUAGACUCUGCAAAGCUGUCAAAUGUUAACUAGCUUACCUUCUGCUCUUUGCAGAAAGGUUAAUGGAUACAGCACAUUUUCCAAUGUGACUCUGAAAAACAAAGAAUUACAAAUAGUAUGUUGUGGUAUUUGUUUUUCUUCUUUUUUAGCCUACCCUAUGUAAAAUCUAGAAGUUGAAUGCCACAUCAAAGCUUCUAGCUAUCAAAAAAUUGUUAGUGAUCACCUAGGUGGGGGGUGGGGUGGAGAAGAGUUAGUGCUGGAGUGGUAAAUGAAUCUCUGGUUGUUGCAAUGUGAUGUUAGGAACGAAUCUUUAUUCAUUUGAGGAUCAACCCUUUAACUUUAACCUUUUGUAGGAACAUGUUCUUUAUUUACCAUUUGUCUUGUUUAUUGGAGAAUAUUUUAUAACUCUAUAUUGUAAAAACUCUAUAUUGUAAAAAAAUAACAUCAAAGAGUAUGGCUAAGCUGUAUGUACAGAAUAUAAUAAAUGACAGGUUAACAAGCAGCUUUUUGUCACUCCUGGUAAGAAUGUAAGAAUGAGAACAUUAUCAUUAUCAUUACUAAUAUAUAGUGAAACAUAUAUAUCUCGAUCAGAA